rnacentral:rRNA from 1 species
GUGCCAGCAGCCGCGGUAAUACGUAGGUGGCAAGCGUUGUCCGGAUUUAUUGGGUUUAAAGGGUGCGUAGGCGGUUCCAUAAGUCAGUGGUGAAAUACAAUAGCUUAACUAUUGAGGUGCCAUUGAUACUGCGGAACUUGAGUACAGACGAGGUAGGCGGAAUUGACGGUGUAGCGGUGAAAUGCUUAGAUAUCGUCAAGAACACCGAUAGCGAAGGCAGCUUACUAGACUGUAACUGACGCUGAGGCACGAAAGUGUGGGGAUCAAACAGGAUUAGAUACCCUGGUAGUCC